CAGCUUAUCAAGGAUACUGAAAGAAAGAAGAAAAAAGAGAGAGAGAGAACAACACAACACAAGGGGGAAAAAAAUUCUCACUCUAUCUCUUUAAUUUAGAAAGCUUUGAGGGAAACACACAAAUAUGCACAUAUUAAUUUUCUGUCUUCGCAUUGUUUAUUAUUUUUUGUGUAUUUUUGUUUCUUUAACAAUUGUAUAAAAAUUAUAUUUGUAUUCUUCAUGAAAUUCUAAUGAUUUUACCCUCAAGAAUUGUGCAAAAAUUCUAAUUAUUUUAGCCUCAAGAAUCGUACAAAAACUUUUAAAGAGAGUUAUGGCUAUUUAAAAUUAGGGUGUUUUCUGUCUAUGAUUUGCAGAACAGCUGAUUUUUGG
rnacentral:misc_RNA from 1 species